rnacentral:rRNA from 1 species
UACGAAGGGGGCUAGCGUUGCUCGGAAUCACUGGGCGUAAAGCGCACGUAGGCGGAUUGCUAAGUCAGGGGUGAAAUCCUGGAGCUCAACUCCAGAACUGCCCUUGAUACUGGCGGUCUCGAGUCCGGGAGAGGUGAGUGGAACUGCGAGUGUAGAGGUGAAAUUCGUAGAUAUUCGCAAGAACACCAGUGGCGAAGGCGGCUCACUGGCCCGGUACUGACGCUGAGGUGCGAAAGCGUGGGGAGCA